GAUGAAGAACGUAGCGAAAUGCGAUAAGUAAUGUGAAUUGCAGAAUUCAGUGAAUCAUCGAAUCUUUGAACGCACCUUGCGCUCCUUGGUAUUCCGAGGAGCAUGCCUGUUUGAGUGUCAUUAAUAUAUCAACCCUUUUGGUUGAAUGUGGGUUUGCUGGCCCGCUUUUGGGGUCAGCUCUCCUUAAAUGCAUUAGCGGACAACUUUUUGCCAAAUGCUCAUUGGUGUGAUAAUUAUCUACGCUAUUGACGUCAGUCAGUUCAGCUUCUAACAGUCCAUUGACUUGGACAAAUUUUUCAUUAAUGUGACCUCAAAUCAGGUAGGACUACCCGCUGAACUUAAGCAUAUCAAUAAGCGGAGGA
rnacentral:misc_RNA from 1 species